GCCAUCCUUUUGACCAGGGCCCAUAGGUUCAUAAGAAGUAGUGGUCAGAAGUAGUGGUCAAAAGUAGUGGUCAAAAGUAGUGCACUACAGGGAAUAAGAUUCCAUUUGGGACAAAGUUUCUGUUCACAGCAGGAACAGAUGGGGCCUGAGUUUAGAAGACUGUUCACAACAGGAACGGAUGGGGCCUGAGUUUAGAAGACUGUUCACAGCAGGAACAGAUGGGGCCUGAGUUUAGAAGACUGUUCACAACAGGAACGGAUGGGGCCUGAGUUUAGAAGACUGUUCACAGCAGGAAUGGAUGGGGCCUGAGUUUAGAAGACUGUUCACAGCAGGAACGGAUGGGGCCUGAGUUUAGAAGACUGUUCACAGCAGGAACGGAUGGGGCCUGAGUUUAGAAGACUGUUCACAGCAGGAACGAAUGGGGCCUGAGUUUAGAAGACUCGGUUUUAAUAGUCAGGGCUUGGCUUUUCUCCCUAAUGGUUUUAAUGGUGAGGGCUUUUCUCCCUAAUGGUUUUAAUGGUGAGGGCUUUUCUCCCUAAUGGUUUUAAUGGUGAGGGCUUUUCUCCCUAAUGGUUUUAAUGGUGAGGGCUUUUCUCCCUAAUGGUUUUAAUGCUGUCCAGAUUGGAACGGCCACAAUUAGAUUUAAUUACAGAGACCUCAGUUGUAAAGCGGUCUAAAUAAAAUCACAUUUGUAAAUUGGAGUCACCUGACUUAUAAUUAUGGGAUGGAUAUGACUACGGAGUUAAGCGGAACUAGAAACUUCUCAUCUUCUGAUAUAAAGAAACAACCACGAGAAUGAAAGAGAAAUGUCCAACACAAUGUGAUGUACCAGGUUAUAUCAAUCAUCAGGAUAUUGGCUUCCUCUGACAUGCUGCAUAGCGCCAGGUGAAACACUCGAUCAAUCCACUUCAAACAAUUCACCAUUGUUGAUACGCUGAGAAGAAACAGGCGUUAUGGUGGUACAGUAUACUACACGCAGUGUAAUGAUUGAUGAGGUCAUGUCAGAAGAAACAUUACAUGAGGUUGGUUGGUAAAAAACGAACCAGCACUGAUGUCACGAACUUCAAAAUGAGCGGACCAAAGGCGCAGUGUGCGUUGAGUUCCACAUCUUUUUAAUACAAAGUGAAACUAGAAAAUAACCCCCCCCCCCAAAAAAAAAAACGUGCCGACGUGAUGCCCCAAACACCGUAACACAAUAUCCCACAAAGCAGGUGGGAGAUAGGGCUUCCUAAAUAUGAUCCCCAAUUAGAGGCAACGAUUACCAGCUGCCUCUAAUUGGGAACCAUACAAAAUCACCAACAUAGAAAUACACAUUCUAGAACACCCUGACCUAAACCACUAUAGAGAAUCCAAGGGCUCUCUAUGGUCAGGGCGUGACAACUGCACUAUAUAGAGAUUAGGGUGCCAUUUGAUAUAGGAAUAGGGUGCCAUUUGAAAUAGGGAAUAGGGUGCCAUUUGAUAUAGGGAAUAGGGUGCCAUUUGAUAUAGGGAAUAGGGUGCCAUUUGAUAUAGGGAAUAGGGUGCCAUUUGAUAUAGGGAAUAGGGUGCCAUUUGAUACAGGGAAUAGGGUGCCAUUUGAUAUAGGGAAUAGGGUGCCAUUUGAUACAGGGAAUAGGGUGCCAUUUGUUAUAGGGAAUAGGGUGCCAUUUGAUAUAGGGAAUAGGGUGCCAUUUUAUAUAGGGAAUAGGGUGCCAUUUGAUAUAGGGAAUAAUCUGCCAUUUGAUACAGGGAAUAGGGUGCCAUUUGAUAUAGGGAAUAGGGUGCCAUUUGAUAUAGGGAAUAGGGUGCCAUUUGAUACAGGGAAUAGGGUGCCAUUUGAUAUAGGGAAUAGGGUGCCAUUUGAUACAGGGAAUAGGGUGCCAUUUGAUAUAGGGAAUAGGGUGCCAUUUGAUAUAGGGAAUAGGGUGCCAUUUGAUACAGGGAAUAGGGUGCCAUUUGAUACAGGGAAUAGGGUGCCAUUUGAUAUAGGGUGCCAUUUGAUAUAGGGUGCCAUUUGAUACAGGGAAUAGGGUGCCAUUUGAUACAGGGAAUAGGGUGCCAUUUGAUAUAGGGAAUACGGUGCCAUUUGAUACAGGGAAUAGGGUGUCAUUUGAUAUAGGGAAUAGGCUGCCAUUUGGGACACACACCAAAAUGGAAGAGGCUAUACGGACACACCUGGUGCCCAAAUUGAUGACGUAUGUCACACAGUGAGAAUAGAGUGGAGACUCGUGUUUCCUUUCAAAUGGUAUCAAGAAUAUGCAAAUCCUUGCUUCAGGGCCUUAGCUACAGGCAGUUAGAUUUGGGUACGUCAUUUGAGGUGAAAAUAUUCUACCCCCAAGCCGUAAGACUGUUGAACAAAUAAUCAAAUGGCCACUCGGACUAUUUACAUUGACACCCUUCCCCAUUUGUUUUUACACUGAUGGUACUCGCUGUUUAUUAUCUAUGCAUAGUCACUUUACCCCUACCUAAAUGUACAAACUACCUCGACUAACCUGUACCCCCACACAUUGACUUGGUACCGGUACUGCCUGUAUAUAGCCUCGUUAUUGUUAUUUUAUUGUGUUACUUUAUAUUAUUUCUUAUUAUUUUUUACUUUAGAUUAUUUGGUAAUUAUUUUCUUAACUCUUUCUUGAACUGCAUUGUGGGUUAAGGCGUUGUAAGUUAGCAUUUCACGAUAACGUCUACAGCUGUUGUAUUCGGCGCAUGUGACAAAUAAAGUUUAAUUUGAUUUGACAGAGUAGGGAAAGCCCCAGUGAACAGCCUCCAUGGUGGGUGACCCUGACCCAACAUCGCAGAGCCACGGACUGCUUAUUUAGGGAGCCACAGACCAACAGACCUCACUGGUCUCCCUGGGGGAUAAGGACAGCUGCACAGAGAAUGUACGCAUGUGUGUGUGUGUGUGUGUGUGUGUGUGUGUGUGUGUGUGUGUGUGUGUGUGUGUGUGUGUGUGUAUUAAAUCUUAUUUUGAGGAAAAGCAGGGUUAACAGAAGCCCCACACUAAUGAUAUGAUCCUGUAACGUCACAGUUAAGAGGGUCUGGUUCAUGUGACUGCACUUCUCUGCACUGCAAUAUGUAAUAGUUUGAAUCAGACACUAAUGUGGCCAUCAAAUUAAUUUCACAAUUUUUAAAAGUCUGACUGUAGGUUACCAUGCUCUUUAAGUUCCAGGUAGUUGAUUAGUUCAUGUACUGACACACUGUAAACAAAUCCUGCACUUUCUACAGUAACUUACUGGCAGCCAGUUUACAGUAAUUUUCCGUUAAACCAAAGUGUCUUUAGAAUUUACGGUAACAUAUUGUACUUUUUUUUAACAGUAACUUACAGGUAACUGCCUGCCAGUAAGUUAGUGUGAAAACAACAGUAUUUGAUUUUUACAGGUCAUUAUAUUCAAACCUAAGAAUCAAUAGAAACAAAGCCCUGUGAAUGUGUUGAGAAUAUCUUCCUAAACUAAUAGGACUCUAUUCUCUACUGCAUUUAGAACUGGGACAACAAAAUAGCCUCAUCUCACACUAUAAACAACACCAGCCUAAUCUCAUCCGGCCUCCAUCUGCAGCAAACAGGUCUACAUGUAUAUGAAAUGGACCACCUUAAGGUUGUUGGGGGGCAGUAACAGCUGUUUGGGGGCAGUAAUGGUUGUUGGGGGUAGUAACGGUUGUUUGGGUCAGUAACGGUUGUUGGGGGGCAGUAACGGUUGUUGGGGGCAGUAAUGGUUGUUGGGGGCAGUAAUGGUUGUUUGGGGGCAGUAACAGUUGUUUGGGGGUAGUAACGGUUGAUUGGGGGGUAGUAAUGGUUGUUUGGAGGCAGUAAUGGUUGUUUGGGAGCAGUAACGGUUGUUGGGGGGUAUAAUGGUUGUUUGGGGGUAGUAACGGUUGUUUGGGGGUAGUAACGGUUGUUGGGGGGCAGUAACGAUUGUUUGGGGGCAGUAACGGUUGUUUGGGGGGUAGUAACGGUU
rnacentral:lncRNA from 1 species